AUGAACCGCUAUGGUAUGCCAUUCAUAUCUUUUGUUGGUCUUAUCAAUCACCGGAAGACCACUAUUUUUGGUUGUGCCAUAGUUUCGGACGAGACCGAACAGACAUACGUGUGGCUGCUGCAGACUUUUUUGAGGUCCAUGUGUCAAAAGAUGCCGAAGAGUGUAAUCAUAGACGCCGACGCUGCGAUGAUCAAGGCAAUUCGUGAAGUCUUGCCAUACAUUUGGCACCGUAUAUGUACGUGGCAUAUAGAAAAAAAUAUGAAGAUUCACCGCAGUCACAAGUCCUUGAAGGAGUUCCGAACUCUUUUG
rnacentral:rRNA from 1 species